AUGAGAAGAUUGAACUUCAGAGCCCUAAUCUAUGCAAGAUUCAGCACAAGGAAGAUUCUCCACUAAUGGGAUGGAGGGGGCCAUAGAGCAAGGGCCUGAGAGUGGCCUCUAGGAGCUGAGGGUGAUUCCCUGGUUGACAUCCAGCAACUUGGACUUCCGUCCUACAACUAGAAGAAACUGAAUUCUGCCAACAACCCAGAUGAGACUGGAAGUAGAUUCUUCCCCAGAGCCUCCAGGCACCUUAUUAUACUGUUAAUAACCCUCACAG
rnacentral:lncRNA from 10 species